rnacentral:lncRNA from 10 species
GUACCCGAGGCCGGGCCGGAGCCGCAGGCCAGCCGCGAUUCCUUCGGGCGAUGCUGGGGGCUUUCCGGUCGGGGCCGCAGCCGCUUCCGGAGCCGCGGGCGAGGUGCGUUCCCCAGCCUGGUUUGCUCUGGGCUCUGACCCGCCGCCGCGAAUCUCCGCUCGUAACUCCGGGCCUGAACCUGGAGGAGGGAGGAUUUCCUCUGUGCAGCUUUCGAGCGGUAGACUCACCCUGCCAGGCAGACCUAGAUUGGCAUAACCAGAGAUCAGUUCCAGUUGUGAUGCAGUGGGUGUCUACACACUUCUGAUGACACCUUUAUUUUAAAAGCUGAUGUUCCAAGAGUCGGGGUUUCACCGUGUUAGCCAGGAUGGUCUCGAUCUCCUGACCUCGUGAUCCGCCCACCUCCGCCUCUCCAAGUGCUGGGAUUACAGGCAUGAGCCACCGCGCCCGGCCCUUGUAUUUUUAAACUUUGACUUUAUGGAGACGAACACCAUCGUUUGCUGAACACUUGAAACAUGAUGAAAGAGCCACAGAGUUGGCAGAACUGUUUGAAAAUGCUGUGCAAGCGGUCUUCUCUGUCUUCUUUAUGGCCAGUAAAAUUCUCCAGAAGAGAUUUAUGGCAGCCUCACUCCCAGUAGUUUCUGCAUUUAGUGAGAUAAGCCACAGCAAUUGUCUGCUAUUUUAAAAGCACUGUGAUGCUUAAAUAUUCCAGCUGCUACAUCGGACAGGUGUCUGAUGAUCCUGAGAACAGUCAUCAAAAAGUAGAACUUGAGCCUGGAAUACAUUCUCUGGCAUAGCCAUAGUCAAUCACCAGUAUAAUUAAUGUAAAUGGACACUGGAUAGCUUUUUUGUGAAUUCUGAUGCAGCACAAAGAGACUUUAAUUGUUUCCAAAAAGAAAAUGUCUGAGAUUAAAAUCUAGAGUUUUAUGACUUAGAGGAAAUUUUAUAGCUUUACUCCAAAAAGGGUAAGGCACAAAAUAUUCUGUGCCAAAGGAUGCAUAUUUGGUAUUUUUCCUAUGAAUCCCUUAGUGUAAGUGGCAUGAUGAAAUUUUCUUGGUUUCAACACAGAUGAUGUGUUGAGGUAGUGUUGAGGCUGAGAGGUGGGUGGGAUGGGUCUUGGAGAAGGAAAAGAUUUGUUUUGCAAGGUUUGUGGAGAGCUGAUGCGGUAGUGAGGCUAAGACGAGGGGUAUUUACUUGCUACUUACAUUGAGUCCACUAACAUCUGCAGCACUUUGCUUGCAUUAUCCACGCAAUUAUCACGGGAAACCUAUAAAAUAAGUAUUCCUCUCCUCAUUUUACAAAUAGGGAAGCAGAUAAGAUUUAGAAAAUUUCCCAAACUCACACAAUUAUUAAAUGACAGAACUAGGACUCAAACCCAGGUUUUAUUAAUUUUAGAGACAUGUUUUUAACCACUUGGACACUGCCAACCAUGGAAUUGUUGGUAUGAAAAAAACGUACUCUUGAGUUAUAUUAUCCAUGGUCUUAAUAUCAGAGAAGUGCAGUUGAGUCGCUAUUAAAGAAUAUGGUAAAAUUAUAAAAUGGAUACUAUACAAAGGUAUAAAAAUAUUAUAAAUACUUAUGUUUGGGGUAAAAGGAUCAAAGUAGCCAUGCUCAGUGGAAGGGUAAGGAACUCUUAGCAGAGAUUGAUUAAUUGGGAGAUAAUUGAUUAAUUGGGAGUUGAUUGAUUAAUUGGGAUUUAUUAAUUUGGGAGUAGGUAGGAAGAUAGGAAGUUGUAUAAAAUAAGGGAGAGAUAACUUAGUACCUGGAAAAAAAGAAAUGGAAAUAGGUAGAAGCUAAGAGUUCAAUUAAAAAAAAGGAAUAAAAGAUAUUGGAAGGGAACGAUGAAUGUAGCAUGGAAGAUCCAAGAUGAUGGGAGUUCAGGGGCUAAUUACAGCUAUGGGGAAAAAGUAAUGUAUAAGCUGGAAGCCAGAGAUAAGAGCCAUGUAAAUGAAGAAGUUGGGCCCCAAUAGGAAAGAAUUAUAAGGACUAGAAGGAGCAGGAGCCAUGUGGAAAAAUAUCAUGUAGUACUUUUAAGCUUGAUCUGUCAUCUGUAGCAAAACCAGCAUGCUUGAGUACUGAAUUGACCUGACUGAACUAUGUUGAAAUGUACUGUGGUUUUAUAUCCAUAUGCACUUGGUCUGUGGAGUUGUGGGAAAAGCAUCAGUGAGUAGGAAGCCCAAGGAUUUGGGUCAAGUAUUAAAUAUGCUAUUUACUGUCUAGCUAUGUGACCUUAUAUAAGUCACUUGUGGUCUCUGAGCCUUCAUGUAUUCAUCCAUAAGAUGAGUUGUUGUUUAUAUUAAAUGGGAUGUGGUAUGUUAAAGAGCUGAAUGCAUAGUGAUACAGAAUUACUUUCUGUAAUACUAUUUUUUAAAUAUUUUAAAUGAAAAAUUAAUGAACUUAUAAAUUAAAAGAUUCAAAAGGGAUAAAAAGGUAUACAAUGAAAAGCAAUUCUCCUUCCCACCAGUAACUCUGUCCUACUCCUUAGGACAUUCACCAUAAACAGAUAUCCUGAAUUCUUCUAGAAAUAUUAUAUAUAAAAUCUUAUAUUUCUUAUGUUUCUUUUUUACUAUUUUAAAGGGGAUAAACUAAACUUUGCUUUUUUUCAUAUAAUAAUAUAUUCUGGAGAUCAUUUUCUAAAAGCACAUGUAAACAUACCUCAUUAUUAUAAAGGUUUGAAAAUAUCAAUUUAUUUGACCUGUCCCCUCUCGAUAGAUAAUUAGAUUGUAUCCAUCCCUUUGGUUAUUACCAACAGACACUAAUCACUUAUCAUGUACAUAUAGCCUGUUUUUUAGCAUUGUUAGACAAAGUAGGCAUAUUCCUUUCCAUCCAAGAACUCAUAACCUAGUAAUUGUAGUUGGCUGAUAGCUCAUUGCCCAUACACAAGGAUCUAACACAACCUCUUGAAUAAACAUCCCCCUUAUUCAGAAAUGCCUUUUCCUAUUUCCAUAUUGCAACUUUGCUUACAAAUUUCCAAUCUGUCUUUCUGUUUACAGAAGAUAUACAAAAUUCCUUUUGUAUGAUCUCUUUAUAUCUCUUGAUUUUCUUUUGUGUUUGCUACCAAAGGGCCUGCACAUAGUGAGAAGAUUGUGCAUGAUCUGUGAGCUCUACCACACCUGGAAUUAGGGAUCACCAAUAUGAGAAAAAAAAUUGGAGGUACAAAUAACAUUAUCAUAUGUAAUUGGCAUAUAAAUUACAGAUGUAUCUAUGACUAAAAACCCUGUGGAUAUAAACCAAAUGCAGAUAAAU